UUAUUUUUUUUUUUUUUUUCCACUAAAAUAAAAGAAGGAUUUAUUUCUUAUUCCUUCACAGUUUGACUAUUAAUUAAAGUCCGAUCUACUUUAUAUCUCAAACCACCAACGGAUUCAUACCCAGAACUUCCGGAUUAACGAGCGACGCUCAUAUCGACUAGGCGAGAGAACGCUUCCUGAAAAUUGGCGCUAAAACUUUAUCAAGAUUCAAGAGUAACCCCGCGUUUACAGUUAGCGGGAAUCGGCUUCGAAUCUUUAUCAAAUCAAUUUAUCAAAAAACAUCCUCGAGGAAAAAAUAAAAACCAAUAUGAAUUUGGCAAGAUCCAUUAUUACAAUCAUAUUCAUGAAUUUUUAUUAUUAUUAUGAGCGGGGCAUCAAUUUUGAAUAAUACAAGAAUACUUAUUAAA